rnacentral:rRNA from 1 species
CCUAAUACAUGCAAGUCGAGCGGAGAAAUGGGAGCUUGCUCCCAUUUCUCAGCGGCGGACGGGUGAGUAACACGUGGGCAACCUGCCCUACAGACUGGGAUAACUCCGGGAAACCGGAGCUAAUACCGGGUAAUACAUAGCAUCGCAUGAUGCAACGUUGAAAGUUGGCCUUUGGCUAACACUGUAGGAUGGGCCCGCGGCGCAUUAGCUAGUUGGUAAGGUAACGGCUUACCAAGGCCACGAUGCGUAGCCGACCUGAGAGGGUGAUCGGCCACACUGGGACUGAGACACGGCCCAGACUCCUACGGGAGGCAGCAGUAGGGAAUCUUCCGCAAUGGACGAAAGUCUGACGGAGCAACGCCGCGUGAGUGACGAAGGCCUUCGGGUCGUAAAGCUCUGUUGUUAGGGAAGAACAAGUACCGUUCGAAUAGGGCGGUACCUUGACGGUACCUAACCAGAAAGCCACGGCUAACUACGUGCCAGCAGCCGCGGUAAUACGUAGGUGGCAAGCGUUGUCCGGAAUUAUUGGGCGUAAAGCGCGCGCAGGCGGUCUCUUAAGUCUGAUGUGAAAGCCCACGGCUCAACCGUGGAGGGCCAUUGGAAACUGGGGGACUUGAGUGCAGAAGAGGAGAGUGGAAUUCCACGUGUAGCGGUGAAAUGCGUAGAUAUGUGGAGGAACACCAGUGGCGAAGGCGGCUCUCUGGUCUGUAACUGACGCUGAGGCGCGAAAGCGUGGGGAGCGAACAGGAUUAGAUACCCUGGUAGUCCACGCCGUAAACGAUGAGUGCUAGGUGUUGGGGGGUUCCACCCUCAGUGCUGAAGUUAACACAUUAAGCACUCCGCCUGGGGAGUACGACCGCAAGGUUGAAACUCAAAGGAAUUGACGGGGGCCCGCACAAGCAGUGGAGCAUGUGGUUUAAUUCGAAGCAACGCGAAGAACCUUACCAGGUCUUGACAUCCUCUGCCACUCCUAGAGAUAGGACGUUCCCCUUCGGGGGACAGAGUGACAGGUGGUGCAUGGUUGUCGUCAGCUCGUGUCGUGAGAUGUUGGGUUAAGUCCCGCAACGAGCGCAACCCUUGAUCUUAGUUGCCAGCAUUUAGUUGGGCACUCUAAGGUGACUGCCGGUGACAAACCGGAGGAAGGUGGGGACGACGUCAAAUCAUCAUGCCCCUUAUGACCUGGG